rnacentral:rRNA from 1 species
GACGAACGCUGGCGGCGUGCUUAACACAUGCAAGUCGAACGGUAAGGCCCUUCGGGGUACACGAGUGGCGAACGGGUGAGUAACACGUGGGUGAUCUGCCCUGCACUUCGGGAUACGCCUGGGAAACUGGGUCUAAUACCGGAUAGGACCACUGCCUGCAUGGGUGGUGGUGGAAAGCUUUUGCGGUGUGGGAUGGGCCCGCGGCCUAUCAGCUUGUGGGUGGGGUGAUGGCCUACCAAGGCGACGAAGGGUAGCCGGCCUGAGAGGGUGACCGGCCACACUGGGACUGAGAUACGGCCCAGACUCCUACGGGAAGCAGCAGUGGUGAAUAUUGCACAAUGGGCGCAAGCCUGAUGCAGCGACGCCGCGUGAGGGAUGACGGCCUUCGGGUUGUAAACCUCUUUCAGCACCGACGAAGCGCAAGUGACGGUAGGUGCAGAAGAAGGACCGGCCAACUACGUGCCAGCCGCCGCGGUAA